UCACUACUGGUCCAGCAGCCGCUGUAAUACUAAGGGUGGAAGCGGUUUCCGGUUUUUCUUGGCGUCAAGAUCUCGUAGUCGGUGUGUCGCGUCUGAUGUGAAAACCCAAUGGCUUAACCUUGGGCCUGCAUGCGAUACGGGCAAACUAGAGUGUGGUAGGGGAGACUGGAACUCCUGGUGUAGCGGUGGAAUGCGCAGAUAUCAGGAAGAACACCGAUGGCGAAGGCAGGUCUCUGGGCCAUAACUGACGCUGAGGAGCGAAAGCGUGGGGAGCGAACAGGAUUAGAUACCCUAGUAGUC
rnacentral:rRNA from 1 species